ensembl:snoRNA
UGGAUCGAUGAUGACUGCUGGGUGGCGUAUGAAUUGUGUAUGAUGAAUGCGUGAUUGGAACUCUGAGGUCCAA